rnacentral:rRNA from 1 species
AGUCACUGACAUUAGAUACCCGGGUAGUCCAGGGUGUAAACGCUGCAGACUUGGUGUUGGAGGCCCUUUGGGGCAUUCAGUGCCGGAGAGAAGUUGUUAAGUCUGCUACUUGGGGAGUACGUCCGCAAGGAUGAAACUUAAAGGAAUUGGCGGGGGAGCACCGCAACGGGAGGAGCGUGCGGUUUAAUUGGAUUCAACACCGUAAACUCACCAGGGAAGACUGUUACAUGAAGGCCGAGAUGAAGACUCUACUAGAUUUUCAG